rnacentral:rRNA from 1 species
GUCUACAGCCAUGCUACCUUGAAUGUGCCUGAUCUUGUCUGAUCUCAUAAGCUAAGCAGGGUUGGGCUUGGAUAGUAUUUGCAUGGGAGAUCACCUAGGAAGACCAGGUGCUGUAGAUG